rnacentral:pre_miRNA from 1 species
AGCUUUUUGCAUCCGUGUUGAGAUUUCGUUAGACACCAACUCAUUAGUGCUAAUCAAACUUCCAAGAUAAGUGGAGUU